GGCAUGUACCUUGACCUAGAAUUGAACUGUGACCUCCUGGUUCAUAGUUUGAUGCUCAACCAGAGACACGCUGGCCGGGCUAGCUCUGUGA